GUUGUCGUUGUUGUUGUUGUUGGAAUCUCUGCUCCAAGCUUUUCGUGUGUAAUCGAAGCAACGAGACACUUUGGAAGACCAAAAAUUUCCGGGUAAUGAUCUCCACUCACAUUAAAUAAACCAAACCGCGCAGAACUAUUUGCAGAGGAGAAAAUUUAGAAUCAGAUUUGGGACACAUCAAACUGCUUUUCCUUUCUCCAGCAGCAAGAAUACAGGCAGAAUAUAGUCAGCAAAAAAUUAGUUUUUUUUUUUUGAAAAAAAUAAAGAAUUUUAUUGAUGAAAGAAAAUAAUCCUGCAUCAACACGAAUCAAAAAAACCAAAUCCAGUGCUAAUGAAUUCCUUUAAAGAUCAAAAAGUUUGCUGACCCUAACAUGAUUGAAUAGCUAAUUAACAACACGAUUUUCUUCUCAAAAUACAUACUUUCUUUUACAAUCAUAGCAAAUAUUAAUUGGAACAUAUCUCUAAUAAUAUUCAAAAUUCUUGAAGCCUAUUCUGUGUUCGUCAAGAGAUUAACUACUGCCUAUGUGAUGGUCUUUAGAGUCAAAGGAACAAUCAACUAGUGAAAUGAAGAAGGAAAGCAGUGUCUCUACUCACUUCUAUAUCAUGUGCAAGAUAGAUUCAAUUAAAAAGUCUGACUUUUGAGUUGAGGGGUACUCAUGCUUAUUGGAGUCUCAAGAAAUAGGUGAGUUUAAAGAGUUUCACAGUGAGGUUCUGCAAUCUAUAUGGGUUGCAGAGGGAGAUUCUUUACUUGUUAACUUGUAUCAUUCUAUAUUUUUUAUCAAAUGCACUUAUUCUUCAAGAGUAUAUGAUAACUUCUAAAGAGAAUACGAAAGACAGAAUAGAAAUAUUGAUGAGGAAGUCGGAUUUGAAACAGAAACAAAAGUGAAGUUACGGAAAGAAAAAGUAGAGAUGACAUGAGGGAGAAUAUAUGCUCAUACACUUGCAACGAGAUGUUUUGCUUUAAUUAAUGGUAAUAAAUAUGCUCAUAUAUUUAACAGAUAGAGUUGAUAACUAAGUAGCUAGUGAUGCCCGAGUGAAAAACAAAAGACUUCGGAUUUGAACGAUGCAAUUUCAAUCAUAAACUUUUUGGUCAAAUUCAGUAACACUUUCGAACAUGAUGCUAUUCUGGAUAUACUUCAAAUCUCUAUCUCGUACAUAAAUAUUCCAAUAGUUUGAUCUUUUUCACUAAGCAAAAUAAUAAAAAGUCAUACUAAAAAAUUAUUCAUAAUUUUUUCAUAUCACAUGAAAAACUAAUUAUAACAGUGCGAGUGAUACCUUCCGAACGAGUUUGACUCUUCUUAAGAUUUUAUUCAUUUAAUUCAAUAUAACUUCUUAUAAGAAUCGUGGAAAAUGUUUGUGAUUGUGCUAAUCCAUCCAACCGACCUCUCAUUUUUCUAAAAAAUCUUUUCAUUUGUUUCGCUUAACAUAUACCAAAUUUGAUAAAGCCUGCAUUUGUAUCAACAGUGUAUGAUUUAUGUGCAUUAGGUGAUUGUUAUGAAGGGCUAUCGAUUCAAUCUAUCCGAUAAAAGUAGAUGUGAUCUGUCAUCACAUAUCACAUGAUCCCAGGAAUUUAGGAAUUUGAGAAAAAGCAGAGAACAACAAAUAAUAAAAGUUGAUAAAUAUCAGUAAUAAAGAACACAGGAAACUUACAUGGUUCGACGGAGACGAGAAGAAUUCUACUAAUAAUCUCUCACCCACCAAACCUAAUCCCCAAAUGCACCCACAAUAUAACUCAAAAAGAGUUUUUGGUAUGUUUUCAAUGAGCGAGAAAAUAUCUUUAUUUAUUUAUCGACUACAAGGAGGGCUACUAUUUAUAAAAGUUCAGAUGUGGGACUAAAAUUUCAACUUAGGCUCCCGUAAGAAAACGGAUGAAUCUGUCUGUUUCCAUCACAAUGUUUGUCGUGUAGCUAUUUAUGGACAUUUCCAGUGUCGUUCUUCGGAAAAGUCAACUCUAGUGAUCGAUAUGCAUAUUUCCAUCCCACGAUCUUGAAGCUUUGGUAAACCGAGUUGCUGUGAAAAUAGUAUCCAUUUGGAUUCAUUGAGGUACGAUCCGUGUAUCGGAAUCUCAUCCCCUGCUUGGCAAUCAACCUUUUUCAGACUCACAUGAACUAAGCACAAAAGCUUAGCUUUCUUGCCGUCAGCCAAGAAAGGCGGCUACAAUCCGGUGUGCUGUCUUCGCCUAGUUGAUACCGUAAUGGAUCCAUUUGUCUCUUCAUUAGCUCAUCUUAGUGGCAUGAGUCAAACACGGAGCCGGCAGAGGAAGUCCUGCUCUAAGAAGAAGAGUCUGCACGGGUAGAAGACGAGGUUCGUCUUUCCGGAGUCUGUCAAGAACUAACCAUCAAUUCUUUUCUUUCUUUGUUGAAGCGAUUUAAAUAAGAUUCAAUGGGUAUGGAAAUAAUAGGAUUGGGUUUGGGUCGGAUAUUGACAGAGCGCUGGCAGCUACCAAUCAUCAGCAGAGAUUUGGUUGUCGGAAGAUAUGCAUAACGAGAUUACGACAAAGAAAAAACAAAUCUGAUGACUUUGUUGUCCGUCUUGCAAACGCAAGAUGCACGUUUCGACUUUUUUAAAUCUG
rnacentral:lncRNA from 1 species